UACGUAGGAGGCAAGCGUUGUCCGGCAUUAGUGGGCGUAAAGCGCGCGUAGGCGGUCUGUUAAGUCUGAUGUGAAAUCUUGCGGCUUAACCGCAAGCGGUCAUUGGAAACUGGAGGGCUUGAGUACAGAAGAGGAGAGCGGAAUUCCACGUGUAGCGGAGAAAUGCGUAGAUAUGUGGAGGAACACCAGUGGCGAAGGCGGCUCUCUGGUCUGUAACUGACGCUGAGGCGCGAAAGCGUGGGGAGCAAACAGG
rnacentral:misc_RNA from 1 species